UACGUAGGGGGCAAGCGUUAUCCGGAAUUACUGGGUGUAAAGGGUGCGUAGGUGGUUUCUUAAGUCAGAGGUGAAAGGCUACGGCUCAACCGUAGUAAGCCUUUGAAACUGGGAAACUUGAGUGCAGGAGAGGAGAGUGGAAUUCCUAGUGUAGCGGUGAAAUGCGUAGAUAUUAGGAGGAACACCAGUUGCGAAGGCGGCUCUCUGGACUGUAACUGACACUGAGGCACGAAAGCGUGGGGAGCAAACAGG
rnacentral:rRNA from 1 species